rnacentral:lncRNA from 1 species
CAACAAUGUCCCGCACCUCUGCGCAGACACAAACUGCCUGAUGUCCCUCUCGAGCAUGCUCGGAUAUCGAGACAUCUGAGCCUGCUUCGAAGUGAACUCUGGGCAAAACAUCGCCCUCUCAGUGAACAUCCUGGUGAUCUCAAUCACCGACUCCGAAUCCUGCUUCAGCUCAAGGAACUCCUGAGCCAAUCUCUCCCUUUCAACCUGCGGAACAUAACGAGUGAUGAACAUCUCUCGGAACUGAUCCCAUGAUACCGCAACCCUCUGCGCCUCCGAAUAUGACCCCGUGGUCAAUCUCCACCAAUCCUUCGCCCCGAGCCUCAACAGGUUCAGAGCACACCUCACCCUCUGAUCAGCAGGGCAUGAACACGUGAAGAAACACCCCUCCACGUCCGAUAACCAUCUCAUAGCAACAAUCGGGUCCUGAACUCCAUCAAAGGUGGGAGGCUUCGUAUUAUCGAAGUCCCGAUACUGAAAACCCCGACCAGCUCCUCCCCCUGCCGCUGCUACAGCCGCUGUAGCCGCCGCGGCAGCCGUCUCUGUGAGAGCUGCAUAGCGCUCAUCAAAAUACUCAACCAUGGCGGUCUUGAUCGACCCAAACAGCUCCGGCAACUCAGCCCGGAACAACUCAGCAAUCUCAUCACGCAGGAUCUCACGAAUCCUCGCAUCCAACUCGCACGUGCUCAUCUGACCGAUAACCUCGGGCGGUACCGAUCCGCCCGGAACUCUCUCUCCUGCUCCCGAUCCUGAUCCGGAUCCACUCUCAUCAUGCCUCGGAAUCUCCAUACUGAAAAACACCACACAAAAUCUCAGACUCUUCCCACUAUCCUGGGAUCCAACUCUCUCAACCCAACCCUAGAGAUCAUGGUUUCCCUGAUACGCGUAUGGGUCCUGUGCUUUCAGUAGUACGGGCCCAUACUACCUUCCACACCUACCCAUAUUUGUAUGAAGUACUACCACAACACCCUAGUGAAAACAUGCAUAAUAACUCUCAACCCUCACCACUAGAGGAACUCUGAAAAUCUCCCACAAGGAAACCCUAGGCUACAGGCAUCACAAAUCAGGCAACAUUAUCAUGAAAUCCUGAAGAUCCCUAGCCUAACACUAGCAUGCUGUUCUAUCAAAGCUCAAAAACAAAUAUCAUGUAUGGUAUUUUGGGGUUACUUACUGGCUCCGGCUGAUCGUACCUCCGCGUCCUCCUUUACUCAUUUUGAAAACCAUUUUAAACUCUCUUUUGAAAACUCUCCUCGAUUUGAGACUGGAGUCACACGAGUGUUUCUCCAAUUCACUCAAACCAAGGCUCUGAUACCAACUUGUAACGACCGAAAAAUACAACCAAUUUUAAAUUUUUCAAAAACAACUCGAUUCCAUUAAAUCUUUACAAAAAGGUUUUCAAUACAAAACAUUUAACGUAUUCCCAGAAUCACAUUACUACAAAAUCAUGAGGAGCGGUACGAUCACGCCUUCGCCUUGCCACGGUCUCCUGAAGAACCUGAAAAACAUAAAACCACAACUGUAAGCCCGAAAGCUUAGUGAGAUAUCCCCAAAAUACCAACCACAUAUACCAUACACGCAUAACAUGCCACAACAUAUCUGAUCACAGAACAGCCAUGCACUUCGGGUCUACUGUGUGACUGGUCCGCCGCACCGGCCUACAGUCCACCUGGUCCACCCUCUGAGUCUAGCCAUAAACCUCGAGUCUACAGUGUGAUUGGUCCGCCCGCACCGGGCCUUCAAUCCACCUGGUCCACUCUCCGAAUCUAACCACAUACAUCGAGUCUGCAGUGUGAUUGGUCCGCCCGCACCGGGCCUUCAAUCCACCUGGUCCACUCUCUGAGUCUACAGUAUGACUGGUCCGCCCGCACCGGGCCUUCAGUCGGCCUGGUCCACUCUCCGAGCCUCGGCACGUCUGGUCCGCCCUCUUGGGGCCUACAGCCUAUCCGGACCGCUCGCUGGGCCUUCGGAACAACCGGUCCGCCCUGGGUAUCUUGGCCUACAGCACAAAGCAGGACCCGCCUCAACCCAACUCCAGUCCAAACAACCAUGUGCACAUAUACAUACAAUCAUAUAGCAAUUCACAGUCAACAAGCAGAUCAAACAGAUCACAUAACAUAUCAUCAUCCUAACCAGGAUACCGACCUAACAGGUCACUAGCAUAGCAUCUCCCUAUCUCUCAGGAUACCGAUCUCAAUCAGGUCUCUAACAUAUACCAUCCUAGCUCUCAGGAUGCAAACAUAUCACAGCAACAACAUAACAACAACUACCCGGAUCUCAAUCCGAUAAGGGCCGGCCUUGGUGCCUUAGACCCUGUUGAUAUAGUGAGGAUAACUCACCUCGAAACUGCCGGCUGAAAGGAUAAGAUCCCGCUGCUCCAAGCUCCGACACGAACUCCUCCACUGAACACCAACACACUCAACUCAAUAAAUACCCUUAAUUACCAAAAUACCCCUGAAAGACAACUGGUCAACCUUUGGACAAGGUCAAAGUCAACCCCUGACUGACUCUACUCGCCGAGUCAACCCGAUGACUCGCCGAGUCCCCAUACUCAGAACUUCCCUCAAUCCGCGACCUAACUCGCCGAGUCACCCCGAGACUCGUCGAGUCCAACAACUCUGAGUCCACUCGCCCACAACUCACCGAGUCAUCCCUUGACUCGCCGAUUCUCGACUCAACCAGAAAAUAUUGGGACUCUUCGACAAGACUCGCCGAGUCCAAGAACAGACUCGCCGAGUCUAAGGCUAUCUUCAACCUACUCGCCGAGUUGUUCAUACAACUCGCCGAGUUCCAGGCCAUCUUCAUCCAACUCGCCGAGUUGUUCUUCCAACUCGUCGAGUUCCAGCUCAUCUUCAAGCAACUCGUCGAGUCCACCCAUGUGACUCGCCGAGUACCACCGGUCUGAAUCCAUACAGAAGCAUUCCAGGCCAUGCAAUUGAUCCAAAACAUAGAUCUAGCCUCCUACAACCCAUCCAUCACGUAAAGUGGCAAACUUUACGUGAAUCCAAAGAGAUCUAUGCAUUUUGCACAUUAGGGAUAAGGUUUGGGACAUGAUAGCUUCACCCAACACUCAACACAGGGACUUUAUGCACAUUAGGACCAUCACCACUCCAGAUCUGAGGUAGCAACCUCAGAUCUAACUUCCAAACUCCAAAACAUACCAAGAUAAGCUCCCCACAAACCCCAAAAUGAUGAAUCCAUAAGAGUAACAGCCCAAGGACGAGAUAUUACCUCAAAAGAACGCCCCAACUGCAAUGGAACUCGAAUCCAAGCAAAGCCCCUUGCUCCAAGCCUCCUAUUCUUCAAGAUUUCCUCAACAAUUGCUUCUCCAAGCUCCCAAAUGCAACUUGAUCCACUCACAUACGAAGGUUAGGGUUUCUGGACUUGAGGAUGAGUAAAGAGGCUGGGGGAAUGGAUGUUAUGUUCUUUAUAUAGGGCUCAACCCCGAGAAUUAGGGUUUUCUCCACUCAGCGCCUACUCGCCGAGUCCAUCUCACUGACUCGCCGAGUCGGCUACUUAACACGCGACCAAGUCGCGACUCUACUCGCCGAGUCCACCCAUGGACUCGCCGAGUCGCUCUUUCCCAAUUUACUCUUUUAGCCCUUCAACUCUACUCUUGAUAUUUCGGGAUGUUACAAUUCUCCCCCACUUAAAUUAGGCUUCGUCCUCGAAGCCUACGGCAACACAACUCUUAGAAAUACUCCUGUCAUGCACCACCUGGCAUUAAUCCAACCAGGUUUCUCAAAACACAACCAUAGAACCAGAAACUCGUUUUCUCCUUCCUUACGGUGUCCUGACCACCGUCUCGAGCCGGGCACCGGCUGUACCCUCUGAUAAUCACACUCAACAACCGAGAAUUACCCAUGAUGCAUCACUGCUCCAAAUCUCAACAAUCACUCGACCCAUAUGGGCUAGAAAACCAUGAACCAUCGGAUCCCCGAUCCGAAUCCCACUCUAUCCAUUCCAUGUUGACGGAAAGACCCAUUCUUCAAUCUCAGAGCAACUCCCACGAGUUCUCCUCUUGCAAUCACAUACACAUGCUGAACUAGCUCUAGCACCCUCAGGUUGGGAAAACCCGAUACACUGAUGAUAUCCUCAAACAUCCCCCAGGAUGAACCACUAAUACAUACCCAAUACCCUGAUCAGAAUCACACUGAGAGCCCAAGACUCUCUCCCUGCAUCCCUUCCGAGCCUCUUGGCUCUACACCUGCGGAAUUCCCUCCGCGACCUCAGCAGACAUCCCAAACCGGAUGAGCUUCUAUUCCACUGCCGCAAACACGCUGCUCAAUAACCAUACUCGAAUUACUCUAAUCAUAACUCUGCUCUGCCGCUUUCACUUCCGUGAACUUGCACUCCCUCUCGGAGUUACACACCUCUCUCUUUUCCUUUACCAAGGAAUCCACUUGGCCACACUGCCACUCCGACAAGUGCCACGGUGCUUGCCCAACGCUACACCACCCUUUUAUAGCGUAUCCGCUAUCCAUCCAACACACAUACUCUGACUCUCAUCGCAGGGACUCUCAAGCCCAUGCACUAUCUCAACUAAUCAAGAUCACUACCCGGGGCCAGACCUUCUAAUGCAAUCACACUGCAACAUACACAAUCCAUAUCCUCGAACCGAUCCAACAAUACCUGCAGAGUCUUCAGCAUGACUGGACCGCCUCACCAGGCCUUCAGCCAAUCUGGACCACUCUCAGAACCUUCAGCCAAUCUGGACCGCUCUCAGUGCCUUCAGUUUGGCUGGACCGUUCUCCGAGCCUUCGGCCUGACUGGUACGCCUACCGGCCUUCAGUCUAUCCGGACCGCUCAACUAGCAUUCAUCAUUCCGAGCUAUCUCUCCCGGAAAUCCUCCCAUGCAUACUGUUCUAGCCCUUUAAGGGUUCCGAACUCUGUCUCAAUCGCACAUGCUCGAUCCCGGCCUGCUCCCAGGCCCUCCACAAUCAAAUGCCCUAGGUCUGUAUCCCGCCCCGCAUGCCCGACACUUGCUCCUAUCAGCCUAUACUCUGGGCUGACAGAACACUGCUGAAUCCCAACAGCUAAGCACCCUCAAAUACUCAUCGAUCUCCCGGAGAAUUCUCCAAUUCUCCCCCACUUGUAGCACUGAUUAACAACCACCGGUCGCCAUCACCGACCUCCCAGAACAACUCUGCACAAAGAAAACACUUACACGCGGACUGCUUCCCACAAGCAUAAACAACCUUAACGAGAUCUCACAUCAACACCGAUUAACCCGCUCGAAAGAAACUCAAUCUGCAUCUAACCACUCCUCAGAAAGCAGAUGCUACCCGGCCUUCAAACCAAUGCCAGGUUCCCACUAAUAACUCUCAUGGAUGAUAACCAACGAAAUUCCCAAUACAAUAACCCAUAACCAAACCACAACCCUCAAAACGACGAAUACCGCAUCGAAAACCACACAAAGAUACCAGCACAUAAACAAUACACCACAAUAAUCACAAGAUAACAAGACAUCAAGAAAGAAACAUACCCGCAGCUGCAUCCGGCACUGCUCUGACCUCCUCUGCUGUAAGCUGAAAAGCACGACCCUGAGCCCUUGGGGGCUCCGCUCCACCCUGACCUCCACCUGUGAUCCUCAAAGUGGCCGGUGCUGGAGCCUGCACCGGUCCUGCAGCAAGCUGUGGACAGUUGACCCUCAAAUGUCCAACCUGAUGACAAUGAUAACAAAUCCUCAAAUCCCGAACCGGCGCUGACUGCCGACAAUCCCUCGCAUAGUGCCCCUCCUUUCCGCACUUGCGGCAUGCACCACCGGACCUACAAACUCCGGUGUGACCCCUCCCACACUUCCCACAAGUGUGACUGCUCAGAUCCCCCACUCUAACAUCAACGGUCUUGGACCGUUUCGGCGCCGGCUGCGACUGCACCGGAGCCUGCCUCAGCUCACGCAACUGCAACUCAAUCUCUAACUCACGCCGCCUAGCGGCCUCCUGCAACUCCAACAAGGUCUCGCACCUCUGCGCAGACACAAACUGUCUGAUGUCCCUCUUGAGCAUGCUCAGAUAUCGAGACAUCUGAGCCUGCUCCGAAGCGAACUCUGGGCAAAACAUCGCCCUCUCAGUGAACAUCCUGGUGAUCUCAGUCACCGACUCCGAACCCUGCUUCAGCUCAAGGAACUCCUGAGCCAAUCUCUCCCUCUCAACUUGCGGAACAUAACGAGUGCUGAACAUUUCUCUGAACUGAUCCCAUGAAACCGCAGCCCUCUGCGCAUCCGAAUAUGACCCCGUGGUCAAUCUCCACCAAUCCUUCGCCCCGAGCCUCAACAGGUUCAGAGCACACCUCACCCUCUGAUCAGCAGGGCAUGAACACGUGAAGAAACACCCCUCCACGUCUGAUAACCAUCUCAUAGCGACGAUCGGGUCCUGAACUCCAUCGAAGGUGGGAGGCUUCGUAUUAUCGAAGUCCCGAUACUGAAAGCCCCGACCAGCUCCUCCCCCUGCCGCCGCUAUAGCCGUUGUAGCCGCCGCGGCAGCCGUCUCUGCGAGAGCUGCAUAGCGCUCAUCAAAAUACUCAACCAUGGCGGUCUUGAUCGACCCAAACAGCUCCGGCAACUCAGCCCGGAACAACUCAGCAAUCUC